rnacentral:rRNA from 1 species
GCGGCCACUGCUAUCAAGUUCCGACUAAGCCAUGCGAGUCAAGGUAUCGUAAGAUGCCGGCAAACUGCUCAGUAACACGUGGAUAAUCUAACCUUGAGUAAGGGAUAACUUCGGGAAACUGAAGGUAAUACCUUAUAAUUGCUUAAAACUGGAAUGUUUUUGCAAUAAAAGUUACGACGCUCAAGGAUGAGUCUGCGACCUAUCAGGUAGUAGGUGGUGUAAUGGACCACCUAGCCUCAGACGGGUACGGGCCCUGGGAGGGGUAGCCCGGAGAUGGACUCUGAGACAUAAGUCCAGGCCCUACGGGGCGCAGCAGGCGCGAACACUGUGCAAUGCGCGAAAGCGCGACACGGGGAGCUUGAGUGUCUUGGCAUAGCCAAGACUUUUCUCAUUCCUAAAAAGCAUGAGGAAUAAGUGCUGGGUAAGACGGGUGCCAGCCGCCGCGGUAACACCCGCAGCACGAGUAGUGGUCACUUUUAUUGAGCCUAAAGCGUUCGUAGCCGGUUUUGUAAAUCUUCAGAUAAAGCCUGAAGCUUAACUCCAGAAAGUCUGAAGAGACUGCAAGACUUGAGAUCGGGUGAGGUUAAACGUACUUUCAGGGUAGGGGUAAAAUCCUGUAAUCCCGGAAGGACGACCAGUGGCGAAAGCGUUUAACUAGAACGAAUCUGACGGUAAGGAACGAAGGCUAGGGUAGCAAACCGGAUUAGAUACCCGGGUAGUCCCAGCUGUAAACAUUGCCCAUUUGAUGUUGCUUUUCCGUUGAGGGAAGGCAGUGUCGGAGCGAAGGUGUUAAAUGGGCCGCUUGGGAAGUAUGGUCGCAAGACUGAAACUUAA